AGUCAGUAGUAAUCGUGAAGGUUGUGUGUUGGUAGUUUUAUAGAAUUUCAUGUUAGUCAGUAGUAAUCGUGAAGGUUGUGUGUUGGUAGUUUUAUAGAAUUUCAUGUUAGUCAGUAGUAAUCGUGAAGGUUGUGUGUUGGUAGUUUUAUAGAAUUUCAUGUUAGUCAGUAGUAAUCCUGAAGGUUGUGUGUUGGUAGUUUUAUAGAAUUUCAAGUGAGUCAGUAGUAAUCGUGAAGGUUGUGUGUUGGUAGUUUUAUAGAAUUUCAUGUUAGUCAGUAGUAAUCGUGAAGGUUGUGUGUUGGUAGUUUUAUAGAAUUUCAUGUUAGUCAGUAGUAAUCGUGAAGGUUGUGUGUUGGUAGUUUUAUAGAAUUUCAUGUUAGUCAGUAGUAAUCGUGAAGGUUGUGUGUUGGUAGUUUUAUAGAAUUUCAUGUUAGUCAGUAGUAAUCGUGAAGGUUGUGUGGUCUGUUAACCUUAAACUAUUGGACAAUCAUUUUCUACCAUUAUAGUGUGAUGGUAAUAUUGGA